rnacentral:rRNA from 1 species
UACCUGGUUGAUCCUGCCAGUAAUCAUAUGCUUGUCUCAAAGAUUAAGCCAUGCAUGUCUAAGUACAUGCCGAAAUAAGGCGAAACCGCGAAUGGCUCAUUAAAUCAGUUAUGGUUCCUUAGAUCGUUUCUUCCUACUUGGAUAACUGUGGCAAUUCUAGAGCUAAUACAUGCAGUGAGCCUGAAGCCCUUUGGGCGACGGGUGCUUUUAUUAGACCAAGAUCGAUCGGGUUUCGGCCCGUAUUGUGUGGUGACUCUGGAUAACUUUGUGCUGAUCGCAUGGCCACGAGCCGGCGACGUUUCUUUCAAGUGUCUGCCUUAUCAACUUUCGAUGGUAGGUUACUUGCUUACCAUGGUUGUUACGGGUAACGGAGAAUCAGGGUUCGAUUCGGAGAGGGAGCCUGAGAAACGGCUACCACAUCCAAGGAAGGCAGCAGGCGCGCAAAUUACCCACUCCCGGCACGGGGAGGUAGUGACGAAAAAAUAACAAUACGGGACUCUUUUGAGGCCCCGUAAUUGAAAUGAGUACACUCUAAAUCCUUUAACGAGGAUCAAUUGGAGGGCAAGUCUGGUGCCAGCAGCCGCGGUAAUUCCAGCUCCAAUAGCGUAUACUAAAGCUGCUGCGGUUAAAAAGCUCGUAGUUGGAUCUCAGUUCCAGACGAGUAGUGCAUCUACCCGAUGCGACGGCUCGGACUGAACAUCAUGCCGGUCCUUUCUUGGUGCACUUCAUUGUGUGCCUCGAGAAGGCCGGUGCUUUUACUUUGAAAAAAUUAGAGUGCUCAACGCAGGCGAGUCGCCUGAAUAAACUUGCAUGGAAUAAUAGAACAAGACCUCGUUUCUGUUCUGUUGGUUUUUGGAAUACGAGGUAAUGAUUAAGAGGGACAGACGGGGGCAUUCGUAUUGCGGCGCUAGAGGUGAAAUUCUUGGACCGUCGCAAGACGAACUACUGCGAAAGCAUUUGCCAAGAAUGUUUUCUUUGAUACAAGAACGAAAGUCAGAGGUUCGAAGGCGAUCAGAUACCGCCCUAGUUCUGACCAUAAACGAUGCCAACCAGCGAUCCGCCUGAGUUACUCAAAUGACUCGGCGGGCAGCUUCCGGGAAACCAAAGUGUUUGGGUUCCGGGGGAAGUAUGGUUGCAAAGCUGAAACUUAAAGGAAUUGACGGAAGGGCACCACCAGGAGUGGAGCCUGCGGCUUAAUUUGACUCAACACGGGAAAACUUACCCGGCCCGGACACUGGGAGGAUUGACAGAUUGAGAGCUCUUUCUUGAUUCGGUGGAUGGUGGUGCAUGGCCGUUCUUAGUUGGUGGAGCGAUUUGUCUGGUUAAUUCCGAUAACGAACGAGACUCUAGCCUAUUAAAUAGGUGCGGGGUUCCCAGCACCUUACAACCUUCUUAGAGGGACAAGCGGCUCCUAGCCGCACGAAACAGAGCAAUAACAGGUCUGUGAUGCCCUUAGAUGUCCGGGGCCGCACGCGCGCUACACUGAAGGAAGCAGCGUGUCUUUAUCCCUGUCUGAAAAGACUGGGUAACCCGUGGAACUUCUUUCGUGAUUGGGAUAGGGGCUUGCAAUUGUUCCCCUUGAACGAGGAAUUCCCAGUAAGCGCGAGUCAUAAGCUCGCGUUGAUUACGUCCCUGCCCUUUGUACACACCGCCCGUCGCUACUACCGAUUGAAUGAUUUAGUGAGGUCUUCGGACCGAUGUCCGGCGCGGCCUUUCGGUUGCGCCGGUCUGUUGGAAAGAUGACCAAACUUGAUCAUUUAGAGGAAGUAAAAGUCGUAACAAGGUUUCCGUAGGUGAACCUGCGGAAGGAUCAUUA